CUCGGUGAUUGUGGUGCUGAGUGCAGCGUGGUUGUGUCCAGUGGGGAGGAUUCUGACGACGGUGCUGGGAGCUCAGUCCUCCCCCAUUUGCGGCUACCGUGCCCGGUGUCGACUGUGCCGGGUGCUGGGGAGCUUGGUGAUUGUGGUGCUGAUGACGGCACAGCCCUGGGUCCCGAUCAGCUUAGCCCUCCCCUCAGGGAAGCAGCAUGCUUGUGUCCUUGGGGGGUUUCUGGCCAUGGUGCUGGGAGCUCAGUCCUCCCCGGGGGCUGCGCUCGGUGCCGGCUGUGCCAGGUGCUGGGGAGCUCGGUGAUUGUGGUGCUGAGUGCAGCGUGGUUGUGUCCAGCGGGUGGUUUCCCGAGACGGUGCUGGGAGCUCAGUACUCCCCAGGUGCUGUGCUGGGUGCUGACUGUGCCGGGUGCUGGGGAGCUCGGUGAUUGUGGUGCUGAGUGCAGCGUGGUUGUGUCCUUGGGGGGUUUCUGGCCAUGGUGCUGGGAGCUCAGUCCUCCCCCAUUUUCGGGUACUGUGCCCGGCGUCGACUGUGCUGGUUGCUGGGGAGCUUGGUGAUUGUGGUGCUGAUGACGGCACAGCCCUGGGUCCCGAUCUGCUUAGUCCUCCCCUCAGGGAAGCAGCAUGCUUGUGUCCAGCUGGAGGGUUCCCGACGGUGGUGCUGGGAGCUCAGUCCUCCCCGGGUGCUGCGCUCGGUGCCGGCUGUUCCGGGUGCUGGGGAGCUCGGUGAUUGUGGGGCUGAGCGCAGCGUGGUUGUGUCCAGCGGGGGGGGGUUUCCCGACGACGGUGCUGGGAGCUGAGUCCUCCCCGGGUGCUGCGCCGGGCGCCCGCU